rnacentral:tRNA from 1 species
GGUUCCAUGGUGUAGUGGUUAGCACUUUGGACUUUGAAUCCAGUGACCUGGGUUCAACUCCCGGUGGGACCU